ACCCGUUAGCAAUAAGUGUUUAAAACAUGUUUAGACUCUGAGACAUUUUAAAGACAUACAGAUUAGAAUUAUCAUACAAUAGGUCCAAAUCACCUACACACACAGAUCGAAUUACCAAGCGACCGAUUGGUGUAGCAUUUUGUCUCGUAUAACACUUAGCUCUUACACUUUUAGCUGGAAUUCGGCUCUAAUACUAAUUGUAAUGAUUCGACCCGUUAAUAAUAAUAACUCGUUGAAUCCAAAUUACCGGUCCAAAAUGCUUAAAUUCGGUUAUUGUUAUUAGCAUACAAGGCUUCAUAUAAUCCAAUCAGAAUUAUUUUUCCAUCAGAUUUAGGAUUAUUGAGGCGUAUUCGCGAAUUAUCCGUAAAUUUGCAAUUACGAACACUAUUUUUUAUCCAAAAAAUUAUAGAUAAAAUUAAUAGCAAGUAUCCAUAUAAAUAUGUAC
rnacentral:lncRNA from 1 species